AAACAAAUGUGGUUGAUAUUAUUAACUAUUUAAAUGAAACUUUUUCUUCAAAUUUUGGGCUGUUACAAGUUGGUAUCAGAGCCUUGGUUUGAGGGAUUUGAGCACACUCUUGGGUGUGUCAGAACUCAAACUGAGGAAAUGGUAAACCCUUUUUCAAAAAGAAACCAAAAGUUAAAAUUUUUUGUCAAAAACGGUUUUUAUAAGUAAAAGGGGAGAGUGUAAUGUGCGUAUUCGACCAAGCUCAAGUAAGUGUUGAGGUGUUCCCAAUGAACUAGCCAUGCUAUACAUAUAUUUAGAAAUUGAUGAUUGAAUUAAUUACUUGCUAUGUGUAUGCUUUCAAAGUUUUAUAUGUCUUGGAUUACAUAGCCCUAGAAUGAUGAAUUAUGCCUUAUUCUUGUUCCUUGUUUGGUUAUGUAUUUAUUUGUUUUUGGUAAAAUCACUAAACGUGUGCUUACAGUUUUUGUUGGGUGUUUUAGGUACUUCUGAUUCUAAGAGCAAGGGCCUGACUUGAUGGCGCAACAUGCACUCCCCAGUAUUUCUGCACUUAGUAUUUGGAAACUCUGAUCUUUUAAACAAUGUAGUUAUUUAAUGGGAUUUUUGGAAACAAAUGUGGUUGAUAUUAUUAACUAUUUAAUUGAAAUUUUUUCUUCAAAUUUUGGGUUGUUACAAGUAGGUAUCAGAGCCUUGGUUUGAGGGAUUUGAGCACACUCUUGGGUGUGUCAGAACUCAAACUGAGGAAAUGUGUAACAACGUAAAAUUUCCAAUUUAAUUUUUCAUUUUUAAACCACAAAAUGUAUAUCAUAUCAUAAUCUCAAAUCCAAAACAACAGUGUUUUCAAAACAAAUCCCAAGAUCUCUCUAAUGUGAACUCCAUCAAUGUGGGUGUGUACAAGUCAAGCCGUCGCCUUCCCACGGUCCUCGCUGGUACCUGAGACAUCAAACACAACAACUGUAAGCAUAAAUCCUUAGUGAGUUCCCCAAAAUACCACAUACCACAAAUACGCCACUCGAGGCUAAACCCGACCCUCUGGUCAAGAUGUCUCAGCGGGACCCUCCAGUCCCACAGCUCGUCGGACCCUCCGGUCCAGUCAUAGCUCAUUGGGCCCUCUGGCCCG
rnacentral:lncRNA from 1 species